rfam:Gemmatimonas aurantiaca T-27 DNA, complete genome.
GCGGACGUGGCGAAAUUGGUAGACGCGCCAGCCUUAGGAGCUGGUGGGGCAACCCAUCCCGGUUCGAGUCCGGGCGUUCGCA